GCAGGCUGCAACUCGCCUGCAUGAAGUCGGAAUCGCUAGUAAUCGCGGAUCAGCACGCCGCGGUGAAUACGUUCCCGGGCCUUGUACACACCGCCCGUCACACCACGGAAGUUGGGAGUACCCAAAGUAGGUUGCCUAACCGCAAGGAGGGCGCUUCCUAAGGUAAGACCGAUGACUGGGGUGAAGUCGUAACAAGGUAAC
rnacentral:rRNA from 1 species